rnacentral:ncRNA from 2 species
AACGCACCUUGCGCUCCCUGGUAUUCCGGGGAGCAUGCCUGUUUGAGUGUCAUGGAAUUCUCAACUUCUAAUACUUUUUUGUAUCAGAAGCUUGGAUUUGGAGGCUCGUGCUGGCUCUCUCGUUAGAGUCGGCUCCUCUUAAAUGAAUUAGCGUGAAUCACUAUGGAUCGCUUCGGUGUGAUAAUUAUCUGCGCCGUAGUCGUGAAGUAUUAAUAAAAGUUCUCGCUUCUAAUCGUCCUUCACGGGACAAUUAACCCUGACUUUUUGACCUCAAAUCAGGUAGGACUACCCGCUGAACUUAA